ACACUCAUGAGACGUUAUGGAUGGUGGGAUGUAAAAUGCCUAAGUAUUCUGGUCUUAAAACUGGAGGAAAACCAGUAACGUAAUUAUCACUCGCCUUUCAACACAUUUUUUCUCUUGUCUGAUGGUGUUUGAAUGGACAAAUGGCGUCAAUGUGGGUAAAAAAGUUUGAAAUGGAGUCCACGUGUGAAAAUCAGUCCGCACUACAGGAUUUUCAUGUGUAGAGUUCAGAUGUUAAUGUUACUGUACGACUUGAACCUCCUUGAACAACAAUUUGUUGCCAUACAAGUUGUUUGUUAACCUAUGCAAGACAGUCUCAAGUCCUCAUGGUUUAAGCCAAAUUGUUGGUCGUUCCUGGGUGAUGGUUUUUGGAUCAAGGGAGUCAAUCCAUGAAAUGAUAUAAAUGGUGUCUUUUUUGAACUCAUUUAGAAAAUGAUUCUUCUCAAGAUUGUAGUAAUGGAGGAAUCGUUAGUGAUGUCUUUGGGGAUUGAACGUUUUGACCUGAUGUGUUUACAUACUGAAUUCAGAUUAACAAGAAGUAAAGCAAGAGUACCGAGACAAAUUAUCAACCUCAGACAGAUCGGGGUGGAUUGACAAGAAAUAACACAAGAAAAUAUCAACCUUGGACAGAACGCAAAAAUUGGGGGUCGGUCCGCCCCCUUACCCCACUACUCCUUAAAGGAAGUGUUUAGGUAUUUUCCUCGUAGUAACUGCAAUACGCAUGUGUAUUAAGACAGACGUUCCUUUGCACAAAACGCAUGCGUUUGAAAGAAAUGUUUUUACCACAAGGUAGACAACAUUUUGGAAGACUUAUUAAAACUGCCUGAAAGAGGUGGGCGCGGUGGGGGAGGUCGGAUGGGUAAAAAAAAAAACUGUCUCAAAAUAUUGUAAUAUUACUGUCUAACAACAUUUUAAAUAGUGAUAUAACUGUUCUAAUAUAUAUGAAAAUA